rnacentral:tRNA from 1 species
GCCGAUGUGGUGGAAUAGGCAGACACAACGGACUUAAAAUCCGUCGAUAGCAAUAUCAUGAGGGUUCGAAUCCCUCCAUCGGCACCA